UGUAUACAGCCAUCAACGACCAACUAUCCAGUACCUAUGUUAGAGUGUAUCUGUGUAUUUUAUCAUAUUAUUAUCCUCCUAUAUGUGUACGUGCAACCCUUAACAACUAACCCAUGGCCCAGAAAGGGUUGCAGACAAGAUGUCCUCACAGGGGCCUACCAGAUUGUGACGCAGGAAUAAGAGACCUUGAGAAAGGAAACAGAUUCUGUCAACAUAGCAGGGGGCCCACCUUGAGAUAUGUAAUGCUUUGUAUUAACCCUGUUUCACGGAGGCCUCACACAGCAUUGACUAGUUAAAGACAAGACCCAUGUAACCCCUCCCCUACCCUAUAAAUAAAGAAGCCAAGGGACUGUCCGGUGUGACACUCAACAGAGGCGCAGAUACUGUCUGUUGCACCUGAAGUGGGCACCCUUGCGCAAGUAAAACAGAAAGACGUGUGCUGUCUCGAUUAUUCCUGGGUCCUAGAAGUGGAAGUGUGUGAGUAGUAAGCUGCGGCGCUUCCUCACACAGGAGAUUGUAGGAGUGAAAGCUACGGCGCUUUCUCCAACAUAACUAGAUUGUAGGAGUGAAAGCUACGGCGCUUUCUCCUAACAUAAAUUGGUCCUUCGAGCCGGAUCCGGAGAGAGAUACCAGAGGGCGCCGACCAGUCCGCCGACGAACGACACCGAAAGCUGUCGACAGUCUCGCUCAUAGGGAGUGAGUGAAAGACCUGCGACGUGAAUUCGCCACAGGCCGGUGGUUAGAACUGUUCCCGGACGGCUGGGCUGGCGCCUGACGGGUCCCCGGACAAGAACUAGAACCACUUCGUCAUAAAGGAAGGACCAGGAAACGGUGAAGCCAGGUGAUUGGGUGUUGAUAAAAGUCCUACAAAGGAAAGACUGGACUUCACCUCGGUGGGACGGACCAUACCAAGUCCUCCUGACUACACCAACUGCCUUGAAGAUUGCAGAAAGACCUUCCUGGAUCCACAAGAGUCACUGUAAGCUCAUUCUGCCCUUACCAGACGCCUCACUCGCGGAGUAACAGUGGAAGUCCGCUACAAAGGCACGAAGAAACAAUAGGUUUUCGUUGUCUCAACCCGGUGAAGAAAACAGCUGAACUGUACUCCUUUAGGAUGGCUCUGGUAGGGUGUCCGUGGUGGGCUAAGGGAAUAUUGGGAAGUCUUUUCUGUCUUAUGGUAAUGUUGAUUCUAUGGCUGGUACCAGACACUGAGGUGCAGGAGAAGAAAAGGUGGACUCCGGACGGAGUGCACCUCACUAGCAUAAAAGGAGACGAAACCCAUCCAUUCCUACGGAACUAUUGGUAUCGAUAUGUAUAUGAUGUGGUAUCCAAUAAGAAUUUGACUAACUGCUACAAAGGCAAAUGGUGAUACAGAAUCGCAUGGCGCUAGAUCUCCUCACUGCAGUGCAAGGAGGAGUGUGCGUGCUGUUGAACCAAACCUGUUGUACAUACAUUCCUGACAAUGUGCAUUCACCCAACAUGACUAAGGCAAUGCAAAGGCUGAAGGACUUGCAAAUUGCUAUGACCACCGACACAAGGACGCAGAACGACUAUUGGAUGUCCUGGUUCACUACCGGGGCUUGGUGGUCCAUAUUACUCAAAUUGAGUAUACCAUUUUUUGCAUUCUUUGUGAUGUUCUUCUGUUGUUGUAUCACAGUGAUACCUUGUUUUCGUAUAAUGAUUAAUUCUGCCCUGAGCUCUGCUUUCCGAGCCCAGGAGAAUAUGUUUUUGUCCCUCACCCAAAACAUGGAAACAGAUGCAGAUGAAGAGGAGCAGGGGUGGAUGCAUGACGCACCAUGACGGACGGGCCGAAAUCCUCACCGGCAUGGCCCAGUCCCGAAGUUUAGAGAUGCUACACCCUUGUCUCUUUUUAUAUCACAGCAAAUGUAUAAUUAACAUGAUAAACAGGAGGGACUGUUAGAGUGUAUCUGUGUAUUUUAUCAUAUUAUUAUCCUCCUAUAUGUGUACGUGCAACCCUUAACAACUAACCCAUGGCCCAGAAAGGGUUGCAGACAAGAUGUCCUCACAGGGGCCUACCAGAUUGUGACGCAGGAAUAAGAGACCUUGAGAAAGGAAACAGAUUCUGUCAACAUAGCAGGGGGCCCACCUUGAGAUAUGUAAUGCUUUGUAUUAACCCUGUUUCACGGAGGCCUCACACAGCAUUGACUAGUUAAAGACAAGACCCAUGUAACCCCUCCCCUACCCUAUAAAUAAAGAAGCCAAGGGACUGUCCGGUGUGACACUCAACAGAGGCGCAGAUACUGUCUGUUGCACCUGAAGUGGGCACCCUUGCGCAAGUAAAACAGAAA